rnacentral:rRNA from 1 species
GACGAACGCUGGCGGCGUGCUUAACACAUGCAAGUCGAACGGAAAGGCCCUGCUUUUGUGGGGUGCUCGAGUGGCGAACGGGUGAGUAACACGUGAGUAACCUGCCCUUGACUUUGGGAUAACUUCAGGAAACUGGGGCUAAUACCGGAUAGGAGCUCCUGCUGCAUGGUGGGGGUUGGAAAGUUUCGGCGGUUGGGUAUGGACUCGCGGCUUAUCAGCUUGUUGGUGGGGUAGUGGCUUACCAAGGCUUUGACGGGUAGCCGGCCUGAGAGGGUGACCGGCCACAUUGGGACUGAGAUACGGCCCAGACUCCUACGGGAGGCAGCAGUGGGGAAUAUUGCACAAUGGGCGGAAGCCUGAUGCAGCAACGCCGCGUGCGGGAUGACGGCCUUCGGGUUGUAAACCGCUUUCGCCUGUGACGAAGCGUGAGUGACGGUAAUGGGUGAAGAAGCACCGGCUAACUACGUG